rnacentral:rRNA from 1 species
UGGGGAAUCUUGCGCAAUGGGCGAAAGCCUGACGCAGCGACGCCGCGUGAGUGAUGAAGGCCUUCGGGUUGUAAAGCUCUGUGGAGGGGGACGAAUAAGGGUCGUCGAAUAGACGGCUCGAUGACGGUACCCCUUUAGCAAGCACCGGCUAACUCUGUGCCAGCAGCCGCGGUAAGACAGAGGGUGCAAACGUUGUUCGGAAUUACUGGGCGUAAAGCGCGUGUAGGCGGCUCGGCAAGUCGGAUGUGAAAGCCCUGGGCUUAACCUAGGAAGUGCAUUCGAAACUGCCAAGCUUGAGUUCUGGAGAGGAAGGCGGAAUUCUCGGUGUAGAGGUGAAAUUCGUAGAUAUCGAGAGGAACACCGGUGGCGAAGGCGGCCUUCUGGACAGCAACUGACGCUGAGACGCGAAAGCGUGGGGAGCAAACAGG